rnacentral:miRNA from 1 species
CAAUCAGAACAUGACACAUGACAA